CGGACCUCAGAUCAGGCAAGACCACCCGCUGAGUUUAAGCAUAUCACUAAGCGGAGGAAAAGAAACUAACAAGGAU
rnacentral:rRNA from 2 species